rnacentral:rRNA from 1 species
GAUGAACGCUGGCGGCGUGCCUAAUACAUGCAAGUCGAGCGAACAGACGAGGAGCUUGCUCCUCUGACGUUAGCGGCGGACGGGUGAGUAACACGUGGAUAACCUACCUAUAAGACUGGGAUAACUUCGGGAAACCGGAGCUAAUACCGGAUAAUAUAUUGAACCGCAUGGUUCAAUAGUGAAAGACGGUUUUGCUGUCACUUAUAGAUGGAUCCGCGCCGCAUUAGCUAGUUUGUAAGGUAACGGCUUACCAAGGCAGCGAUGCGUAGCCGACCUGAGAGGGUGAUCGGCCACACUGGAACUGAGACACGGUCCAGACUCCUACGGGAGGCAGCAGUAGGGAAUCUUCCGCAAUGGGCGAAAGCCUGACGGAGCAACGCCGCGUGAGUGAUGAAGGUCUUCGGAUCGUAAAACUCUGUUAUUAGGGAAGAACAAAUGUGUAAGUAACUAUGCACGUCUUGACGGUACCUAAUCAGAAAGCCACGGUUAACUACGUG